AAAAAGUUAGUUAAAAUAUAAUACUAGGUUGUCAGCCUUGUGUUGCUAGUUAAAUUUAGUACUUUUUA
rnacentral:tRNA from 1 species